ACGGGUGAGUAAUACUUAGGAAUCUGCCUAUUAAUGGGGGACAACAUCUCGAAAGGGAUGCUAAUACCGCAUACGCCCUACGGGGGAAAGCAGGGGAUCACUUGUGACCUUGCGUUAAUAGAUGAGCCUAAGUCGGAUUAGCUAGUUGGUGGGGUAAAGGCCUACCAAGGCGACGAUCUGUAGCGGGUCUGAGAGGAUGAUCCGCCACACUGGGACUGAGACACGGCCCAGACUCCUACGGGAGGCAGCAGUGGGGAAUAUUGGACAAUGGGGGGAACCCUGAUCCAGCCAUGCCGCGUGUGUGAAGAAGGCCUUAUGGUUGUAAAGCACUUUAAGCGAGGAGGAGGCUCUUCUAGUUAAUACCUAGGAUGAGUGGACGUUACUCGCAGAAUAAGCACCGGCUAACUCUGUGCCAGCAGCCGCGGUAAUACAGAGGGUGCGAGCGUUAAUCGGAUUUACUGGGCGUAAAGCGUGCGUAGGCGGCUUUUUAAGUCGGAUGUGAAAUCCCCGAGCUUAACUUGGGAAUUGCAUUCGAUACUGGGAAGCUAGAGUAUGGGAGAGGAUGGUAGAAUUCCAGG
rnacentral:rRNA from 1 species